rnacentral:lncRNA from 1 species
UACAUUUGAAGACAUAACUUAAGCCCCCUUAUAUAGGCAAGCCUCUAAGCUACUCUUCAACAUUUUUCCAAUGAGGGACAAUGACCAUUCUCAUUUUUAAGCAAAAUCCCAACAAACUCCACCUUGAUUAAAAAUGACCAUAGCAGCAACUAUCCGUCAUACUCCAUAUUGCUGGACACCUGUCAUACUCCACCAUAAAGAGUAUCGCCACUUAGAAUAAACCAUUCUAAGAAUUUCCACUUUGGCUCAUGUCGAAAAACACCUUGCUGAUUACUAUGGUGCAACCUCCACUAUUGACUCUCCUUGGAAGUCCAUCAGCUAUCGACAUAACUGUUUCAUCACACACCUUGCAUUCUUGCCAAACCAAUGCCCGUGUGUAAUUCCGCUAUUAAUCUCACAUCCUUCACCAUGGCAAAUAGCGGCAUUCCAUAAGGAUGUACAUGUCUUUGGGUCAUAUAAGGUCAUAUGGGUCCCUAUCAAAGACCAUAUUAACAACAUCAUACCAGUAUUUGGACAUAAGGAUGUACGUGUCUUUGGGUCAUAUAAGGUCAUAUGGGCCCCUAUCAAAUACCAUAUUAACAGCAUCACUUGACUUGGAGCCUGUAGCCGAACCCGCUCCACCUGCUGGAAUAUCCUUCUUCAUAUGUCCAGGCUCUCCACACUUCCAGCAAACAACAUUCCGCUUCAUGGGGUUCCUCUUUUCCUUUCGUUUCCCGUAGCACAUAUACACACCUUC